CCACAGAGAAAACCUGUUUCAAAACCAAAAAAGAAAAAGAAAAACAAUGCUGUGUGUAAUUCUGGUUACUUCAUUCCUUGGGGCAUUCAGGACCAGUGGCUCUUGUCUUCAGACACUACCUUUGACCCUUAACCCUGUUCUCUCCUUAUAUUACUCAAGACUCCAGCACCCAGCCGGACAGCGUCUUUUUCUGAGUCCAGAGCUGAUGAAGUGGCACCUGCAAAGAAAGCCAAACCAGCCAUGCCCCAAGAUUCAGUCCCAAGUCCAAGAUCCCUGCAAGG